GCUUAACACAUGCAAGUCGAACGGGCACCUUCGGGUGUCAGUGGCAGACGGGUGAGUAACACGUGGGAACGUACCCUUCGGUUCGGAAUAACUCAGGGAAACUUGAGCUAAUACCGGAUACGCCCUUUUGGGGAAAGGUUUACUGCCGAAGGAUCGGCCCGCGUCUGAUUAGCUAGUUGGUGGGGUAAUGGCCUACCAAGCCGACGAUCCAUAGCUGGUUUGAGAGGAUGAUCAGCAACACUGGGACUGAGACACGGCCC
rnacentral:rRNA from 1 species